rnacentral:rRNA from 1 species
AGUCGAACGGAAAGGCCCUUCGGGGUACUCGAGUGGCGAACGGGUGAGUAACACGUGGGUGAUCUGCCCUGCACUUUGGGAUAAGCCUGGGAAACUGGGUCUAAUACCGAAUACACCCUUCUGGCUGCAUGGUCUGGUUGGGGAAAGCUUUUGCGGUGUGGGAUGGGCCCGCGGCCUAUCAGCUUGUUGGUGAGGUUACGGCUCACCAAGGCGACGACGGGUAGCCGGCCUGAGAGGGUGACCGGCCACACUGGGACUGAGAUACGGCCCAGACUCCUACGGGAGGCAGCAGUGGGGAAUAUUGCACAAUGGGCGCAAGCCUGAUGCAGCGACGCCGCGUGAGGGAUGACGGCCUUCGGGUUGUAAACCUCUUUCGCCAGGGACGAAGCGCAAGUGACGGUACCUGGAGAAGAAGGACCGGCCAACUACGUGCCAGCAGCCGCGGUAAUACGUAGGGUCCGAGCGUUGUCCGGAAUUACUGGGCGUAAAGAGCUCGUAGGUGGUUUGUCGCGUUGUUCGUGAAAACUCACAGCUCAACUGUGGGCGUGCGGGCGAUACGGGCAGACUGGAGUACUGCAGGGGAGACUGGAAUUCCUGGUGUAGCGGUGGAAUGCGCAGAUAUCAGGAGGAACACCGGUGGCGAAGGCGGGUCUCUGGGCAGUAACUGACGCUGAGGAGCGAAAGCGUGGGGAGCGAACAGGAUUAGAUACCCUGGUAGUCCACGCCGUAAACGGUGGGUACUAGGUGUGGGUUUCCUUCCUUGGGAUCCGUGCCGUAGCUAACGCAUUAAGUACCCCGCCUGGGGAGUACGGCCGCAAGGCUAAAACUCAAAGAAAUUGACGGGGGCCCGCACAAGCGGCGGAGCAUGUGGAUUAAUUCGAUGCAACGCGAAGAACCUUACCUGGGUUUGACAUGCACAGGACGUGCCUAGAGAUAGGUAUUCCCUUGUGGCCUGUGUGCAGGUGGUGCAUGGCUGUCGUCAGCUCGUGUCGUGAGAUGUUGGGUUAAGUCCCGCAACGAGCGCAACCCUUAUCUUAUGUUGCCAGCGCGUAAUGGCGGGGACUCGUGAGAGACUGCCGGGGUCAACUCGGAGGAAGGUGGGGAUGACGUCAAGUCAUCAUGCCCCUUAUGUCCAGGGCUUCACACAUGCUACAAUGGCCGGUACAAAGGGCUGCGAUGCCGUGAGGUGGAGCGAAUCCUUUCAAAGCCGGUCUCAGUUCGGAUCGGGGUCUGCAACUCGACCCCGUGAAGUCGGAGUCGCUAGUAAUCGCAGA